UACGUAGGGUGCGAGCGUUGUCCGGAAUUAUUGGGCGUAAAGAGCUUGUAGGCGGUUUGUCGCGUCUGCUGUGAAAAUCCGGGGCUCAACCCCGGACUUGCAGUGGGUACGGGCAGACUAGAGGUAUGCAGGGGAGAGCGGAAUUCCUGGUGUAGCGGUGAAAUGCGCAGAUAUCAGGAGGAACACCGGUGGCGAAGGCGGUUCUCUGGGCAUGAUCUGACGCUGAGGAGCGAAAGCAUGGGGAGCGAACAGG
rnacentral:rRNA from 1 species